rnacentral:rRNA from 1 species
GUAACACGUGGGUAACCUGCCCAUAAGACUGGGAUAACUCCGGGAAACCGGGGCUAAUACCGGAUAACAUUUUGAACCGCAUGGUUCGAAAUUGAAAGGCGGCUUCGGCUGUCACUUAUGGAUGGACCCGCGUCGCAUUAGCUAGUUGGUGAGGUAACGGCUCACCAAGGCAACGAUGCGUAGCCGACCUGAGAGGGUGAUCGGCCACACUGGGACUGAGACACGGCCCACACUCCUACGGGAGGCAGCAGUAGGGAAUCUUCCGCAAUGGACGAAAGUCUGACGGAGCAACGCCGCGUGAGUGAUGAAGGCUUUCGGGUCGUAAAACUCUGUUGUUAGGGAAGAACAAGUGCUAGUUGAAUAAGCUGGCACCUUGACGGUACCUAACCAGAAAGCCACGGCUAACUACGUGCCAGCAGCCGCGGUAAUACGUAGGUGGCAAGCGUUAUCCGGAAUUAUUGGGCGUAAAGCGCGCGCAGGUGGUUUCUUAAGUCUGAUGUGAAAGCCCACGGCUCAACCGUGGAGGGUCAUUGGAAACUGGGAGACUUGAGUGCAGAAGAGGAAAGUGGAAUUCCAUGUGUAGCGGUGAAAUGCGUAGAGAUAUGGAGGAACACCAGUGGCGAAGGCGACUUUCUGGUCUGUAACUGACACUGAGGCGCGAAAGCGUGGGGAGCAAACAGGAUUAGAUACCCUGAUACUCCACGCCGUAAAC